rnacentral:lncRNA from 1 species
AUUAUACUGCAUUCUAAAUCCUUUAAAUUUACACACCACCCCUACAUAAUAUUACUCCGCAUAUUUUUUUUCUCAUUUUUCCUUUUAUUAUAUUUCAAGUUACAAGUCAAAAUAAAUAGGGAAUUAAUAUGAAACAAACUUUUUCUUUUUCCUAAUAAAAACUAUUGUUUUCUAGUCAGGUGUACACUAAAGUGGGAAGGGUGUAUCCUCAGCAUUAAUAAUGUAUUUACAGUUAAUAUUAAUUAAAUGAGUUGUGUAUAUUAAUUUUAUGAGUUUUACAAUGUCUGUUAAGCUAA